rnacentral:rRNA from 1 species
AGUGAACGCUGGCGGUAGGCCUAACACAUGCCAGUCGAACGGCAGCACAGUAAGAGCCUGCUCUUACGGGUGGCGAGUGGCGGACGGGUGAGGAAUACAUCGGAAUCUACUUUUUCGUGGGGGAUAACGUAGGGAAACUUACGCUAAUACCGCAUACGACCUACGGGUGAAAGCAGGGGAUCUUCGGACCUUGCGCGAUUGAAUGAGCCGAUGUCGGAUUAGCUAGUUGGCGGGGUAAGGGCCCACCAAGGCGACGAUCCGUAGCUGGUCUGAGAGGAUGAUCAGCCACACUGGAACUGAGACACGGUCCAGACUCCUACGGGAGGCAGCAGUGGGGAAUAUUGGACAAUGGGCGCAAGCCUGAUCCAGCCAUACCGCGUGGGUGAAGAAGGCCUUCGGGUUGUAAAGCCCUUUUGUUGGGAAAGAAAAGCAGCAGGUUAAUACCCCGCUGUUCUGACGUUACCCAAAGAAUAAGCACCGGCUAACUUCGUG